GCUAGAAUGCUUCAAAUAUCUUUUGCAAGUAUAAUAAACCUUUUUUUUUAAGUGGAAACAUGAAUAUUCUUCUGAAGAUCCUUUAUUAGGAUUUCAUUUCAAUGCAUUUAUGAUUACAUUAGUUCUUCUGUUUGAAACAGACUGGAAAAAAUAACUGCCACCAUUCAGAGCCCAGGACAGAGAAGCUUAACAGCUUGGAGGAGUCCAGAGUUGCUGGCUGGCCUAUGGAGCAGAUAAGCAAACUGAUACUGAGUAAGGAAGAAGCAGUUUCUCCAAGGAUUGUGAUGGUGUGCAUCUCGGGUCUCUCUGAGGAAUGAAGCCAGUUGAUCUUUCUGCUGAACAAGGUGAUCCACCCAGACCUAGCAGCUGUGACUUGCUGUGAUUCACACAGAGAGGAAUGUGGUGAUAAAUGGGAUUUUUCAAGUCGGAAGAAGAUCCGUGGGUUUGGAGGGCUGAUCUACAACAUGCACCAUGGCUUUGUUUGCAGUCAAAUUCUGUUUUAACCUGUAAAACUAGUUUGCAGUUUGGAAAUGGAUGAUUUAAGUGUCAUUGAAGUAUUUUUUUAAGUGUCAUAGCUAUUUUUAAAGCAAUUGCCUGUAUUCUUUUGAUGAACCUUGCCUGAAGACUAAUGACUGUAAACAUUCCUGCAUAAUAAGAGGCCUCAUUAUCAGAUUGUCAGCAAUUGUCUUGGCAAUAAAAAAAUGUACAGUCUUCACGGCUUGAAGGAAAUGGUGUUUUUUCUUUUGCUUUUAUUUUUUAAAAAAAUUUUUUGGUGCACUGAA